rnacentral:misc_RNA from 1 species
GAUGAAGAACGUAGCGAAAUGCGAUAAGUAAUGUGAAUUGCAGAAUUCAGUGAAUCAUCGAAUCUUUGAACGCACAUUGCGCCCCCUGGUAUUCCGGGGGGCAUGCCUGUCCGAGCGUCAUUGCUGCCCUCAAGCACGGCUUGUGUGUUGGGCCCCGUCCUCCGAUCCCGGGGGACGGGCCCGAAAGGCAACGGCGGCACCGCGUCCGGUCCUCGAGCGUAUGGGGCUUUGUCACCCGCUCUGUAGGCCCGGCCGGCGCUUGCCGAUCAACCCAAAUUUUUAUCCAGGUUGACCUCGGAUCAGGUAGGGAUACCCGCUGAACUUAAGCAUAUCAAUAAGCGGAGGA